CCUUUUGAUGAGGGAGUCGCGGACGAGCGCCGAGACGUGGGGGCGGUCGGUGAGGAGCUGGUCGGCGUUGAACUGGGCGACGACGGCCUUGAGCACCUCGUUCCCGAUGGAGGGGAGCACCUUGUCGUCGUACUCGAGGCCGAGGGAGGUGAAGAUGGUGGGCAGGUUGACGACGUCAGGGCGGGAGAGGAGGCGGAGGGUGAGGUUUACCAUCUGCAGAUCCUUGGUGCCGGAGUUGGAGGAGAAGUUGUGCGGGCGGGUGCGGAUGUCGAAGAUGUAGGGCUUCUGGAGCCACGGCACGAUGAAGUGGGUGCCCUCGCCGACGGUGUCCGGCAGCACCCCGCGGAACCGGUCGAAGACGACGGCGCGCUCGCCGCCGUCCACGGUGU
rnacentral:lncRNA from 1 species